GUAGUAACAGAGGGUUUGAUCCUGGCUCAGAUUGAACGCUGGCGGGAUGCUUUACAUGAUGCAAGUCGAACGGCAGCACGGACUUCGGUCUGGUGGCGAGUGGCGAACGGGUGAGUAAUGUAUCGGAACGUGCCUAGUAGCGGGGGAUAACUACGCGAAAGCGUAGCUAUUACCGCAUACGCCCUUCGGGGGAAAGCGGGGGACCUUCGGGCCUCGCACUAUUAGAGCGGCCGAUAUCGGAUUAGCUAGUUGGUGGGGUAACGGCCACCAAGGCGACGAUCCGUAGCUGGUUUGAGAGGACGACCAGCCACACUGGGACUGAGACACGGCCCAGACCUCCUACGGGAGGCAGCAGUGGGGAAUUUUGGACAAUGGGGAAACCCUGAUCCAGCCAUCCCGCGUGCGAUGAAGGCCUUCGGGUUGUAAAGCACUUUUUGGCAGGAAAGAAACGGCACGGAUAAUACCCGUGCAACUGACGGUACCUGCAGAAUAAGCACCGGGCUAACCACGCCAGCAGCCGCGGUAAUACGUAGGGUGCAAGCGUUAACGUGGAAUUACUGGGCGCAAGCGUGCGCAGGCGGUUCGGAAAGAAAGAUGUGAAAUCCCAGAGCUUAACUUUGGAACUGCAUUUUUAACUACCGAGCUAGAGUGUGUCAGAGGAGGUGAAUCUUAUGCGUAGCAGUGAAAUGCGUAGAUAUGCGGAGGAACACCGAUGGCGAAGGCAGCUCUGGGAUAAUACGAUUAUCGCUCAUGCACGAAAGCGUGGGGAGCAAACAGAUUAGAUACCCUGGUAGUCCACGCCCUAAACGACGUCAACUAGCUGUUGGGCCUUUCGGGCCUUGCAGCGUGUUAACGCGUGAAGUUGACCGCCUGGGGAGAGCGGUCGCAAGAUUAAAACUCAAAGGAAUUGACGGGGACCCGCACAAGCGGUGGAUGAUGUGGAUUAAUUCGAUGCAACGCGAAAAACCUUACCUACCUGACAUGUCUGGAAUCCCGAAGAGAUUUGGGAGUGCUCGCAAGAGAACCGGAACACAGGUGCUGCAUGGCUGCUGCCAGUCGUGUCAGAGAUGUUGAAGGUUCCGGCAACGAGCGCAACCCUUUGCCAGUUUAGUUGCUGCUUUUGAAAGGGCACUCGACGAGACUGCCGGUGACAAACCGGAGGAAGGUGGGGAUGACGUCAAGUCCUCAUGGCCCUUAUGGGUAGGGCUUCACACGUCAUACAAUGGUCGGGACAGAGGGUCGCCAACCCGCGAGGGGGAGCCAAUCCCAGAAACCCGAUCGUAGUCCGGAUCGCAGUCUGCAACUCGGACUGCGUGAAGUCGGAAUCGCUAGCAAUCGCGGAUCAGCAUGUCGCGGAAUUACGUUCCGUCUGUACACACCGCCCGUCACACCAUGGGAGUGGUCGGCUAGAAGUGGAAGGCUCAACCGUGCGAGUGGCGAUUACCACGGUAGGAUCUAUGACUGGGGUGAAGUCGUAACAAGGUAGU
rnacentral:rRNA from 1 species